rnacentral:rRNA from 1 species
CCCUUAGAUGUUCUGGGCUGCACGCGUGCUACACUGAUUACUUCAACAAGUGUUUUAACUGGAGAGUUUGCGUAAUCCUGAAAUGUUAUCGUGAUGGGAGUAGAGUAUUGUAUUUGUUAAUCUUUAACGAGGAAUUCCUAGUAAGUGUAGGUUUAUAAGUUGUUCUGAUUACGUCCCUGCCCUUUGUACACACCGCCCGUCGCUCCUACCGAUUGAGUGGUCCGGUGAGGCUUUGGGAUCUGAGCGGAAAGAGCGUUUCGCUGUUUCUGCUCGGAAAACUCAGUCGAACCUUAUCAUUUAGAGGAAGGAGAAGUCGUAACA